GGUUGUCUUUUUCGAUGGCAAAUCGGACCCUUGCAGGCUGAGGGAGAGAAAGCUACAUCACACACAGAGGUGGGGUGCUCCCGAGGGGCUGUGGGUCUAGGGUGACCCAAGGACAAGCGAGUUGCGGGGAUCUCUACUGUGACCAUGCAGAAUUGAUCGCAGUCUGCUGCGCCACCACCACCUCAUGUUCCCGAGGGGAA
rnacentral:lncRNA from 1 species